UCUUAUGGAUGAGCAAAGAAAGUGGUUUCUUGAGAUGGAAUCUACUGCCGAAGAUGCUGUGAA
rnacentral:pre_miRNA from 3 species